rnacentral:rRNA from 1 species
AUGGACGCGAGCAUCUUCCACGAGCCGGCCAAGUUCGACCCGUCCCGGUUUGAGACCGAGAACCAAAGGGCGUCGGCGGCGCCGCCGUUCUCCUUCGUCGCCUUCGGGGGCGGCCCGAGGAUCUGCCCAGGGAUAGAGUUUUCCAGGAUCGAGACGCUGGUGACGAUGCACCACCUUGUGAGGCAGUUCAGAUGGAAGCUCUGCUGCAAGGAGGACACCUUCGUGAGGGACCCCAUGCCGUCGCCGCUGCUCGGCCUGCCCGUCCAAAUCGAGCACAGGGCCUCUCCUUGA